AAGAGACGUUGCCCUUCGGGGUAUACCUCCCGCCCUUUGUUUAUUAUACCUUUGUUGCUUUGGCGGGCCCGUCCUCGGACCACCGGCUUCUGCUGGUCAGUGCCCGCCAGAGGACCUAAAACUCUGUUUGUUAAUAUUGUCUGAGUACUAUAUAAUAGUUA
rnacentral:misc_RNA from 1 species